AGAUCGUGAUAAAGACACUUGCGCAACAGAUCUUUGUAUUUUUCCCAUGCUUCAUACAAAGAUUCACCCUCAAAUUGGGUGAAGGUAGUAAUAUCAUUCCUUAGCUU